rnacentral:rRNA from 1 species
GUGCACCAGUCGCGAAAACUUGUCAAUGCGCGAAAGUGUGAACGGGCUACCCCGAGUGCCGUCCGCUGAGGAUGGCUUUUCUCUGCUGUAAUAAGGCGGAGGAAUAAGGAGAGGGCAAGUCUGGUGUCAGCCGCCGCGGUAAUACCAGCUCUCCGAGUGGUAGGGAUGAUUAUUGGGCUUAAAGCGUCCGUAGCUGGCCUGUCAAGUCUCUUGUUAAAUCCAGCGAUUCAAUCGUUGGACUGCGGGAGAUACUGUUAGGCUAGUGGGCGGGAGAAGCCGACGGUAUUGCCGGGGUAGGGGUAAAAUCCUAUAAUCCCGGGAAGACCACCAGUGGCGUAGGCGGUCGGCUAGAACGCGACCGACAGUGAGGGACGAAAGCUGGGGGAGCGAACCGGAUUAGAUACCCGUGUAGUCC